rnacentral:rRNA from 1 species
UACGGAGGGGGUUAGCGUUGUUCGGAAUUGCUGGGCGUAAAGCGCACGUAGGCGGAUCAGAAAGUUGGGGGUGAAAUCCCGGGGCUCAACCCCGGAACUGCCUCCAAAACUCUUGGUCUUGAGUUCGAGAGAGGUGAGUGGAAUUCCGAGUGUAGAGGUGAAAUUCGUAGAUAUUCGGAGGAACACCAGUGGCGAAGGCGGCUCACUGGCUCGAUACUGACGCUGAGGUGCGAAAGCGUGGGGAGCAAACAGG